UUAGCGGAACAGUCCUUUUCUAAUUAGCUUUCCCUCUUUAAACUUCAGACUCUUCCCCUACAAAAGUCCAUGGACCGACACUUUUGCCUUAUAAUAUCACUAUAUAUACUUUGCUCUCCUUUUCAACUUCCCACUUCCACCAAUCCCUUCUCUUCUCUUGUUUUUCUUUCUUUGGCUAACCAUGGAAAUUUUUCUUGAAUUCAUGUUUACUAUUUCUUUUUCUUUUGUUAUUUCCUUCCUUCUGGCUAAGCUUCUUUCCUUUUCGUCUAUCAUUGAUCAACAUCUAGAGAUCGUGUCGAGAUUAUAUGCGGAAGUCAAAACUGAAUCAGAAAAACAUGAAUUUGAAGAAGUUGAUGCUUUAUGUGAAUCCGUGGAAGAAAUUGGUACCCAGGAAGAGUCUUCGAAUGGUGGUGAAGAAUUAAUUAGAGAAACAGAGGGAACUGUUGAAGGAAUUAGUUCAUCUGAAGAGAAUUUUGUUAGUGAAACCACUGAGAUUGAACUAGCUAAAGAGGAUGAAGAAGGGAUUGAGGAUUUGGUGUGUGAUAAAGAGAAUGGAGGAGGUUUCUUCUUGGAGGGGUCAUCAUCAUCAUCUGAUGAUGAUGAUUGGGAGGGUAUUGAACGAACCGAAUUGGAGAAAGAUUUUGGUGCAGCGGUGAGUUUUUUGGUGCAAAAAAGUAAUGCUGAUCAAGUUUUGAAACUUGGCAAUGAUUUAAAGAUGCAAUUGUAUGGACUUCACAAGAUUGCCACUCAAGGGCCUUGCCACGAGCCUCAGCCGAUGCCAUUCAAGUUAUCUGCUCGUGCAAAGUGGAAUGCCUGGAAAAAACUUGGUAACAUGAGUCCAGAAGCAGCGAUGGAGUUGUAUAUCACCCUUGUUUCAAGAAGCAUCCCUGGGUGGCUGCAACCUGACAUUUGUGGGGAUGGUAAACAGGAUUAUGUAGAUGCCAAAGCCUCUAGCAAGCCACCUUUGGAUGUCAAAAAAAUGGCAGUGAACCAAGCUAUAGAUGUGGAUUACAGGACUUCUAAUGAGUUAAUGACUAACAUUCAAAAUAUUGACUGGAUGAAACCUGCUGUCUAUACUCCAUGAAUAAGUGGUAUGCUUUAAACGUGUUGACACAAUUACACUUUGCAAGACAUGCUAACAAAAUGUGUCAAAUCUGGAAAUUUUGAGGAAACUAAAUGACUGCAAAAAUGUUAAAUACUUGAUGAUGGUGCAAGCAUAUUACGUUAUGUGAUUUGAGCUGCACUCAGCACGAAUUCCAGAGGAUCGUUUUUUUAUUGCCAGUUUGAUAUUCAUCAACCUGCUUUGAAUCAUCUCAAAAAUCUCAGUUACAUCUACAAACAACAAUGGAUAAGGAGGAGUUUGGAUCAGGAUUAUUAGGAGCUUCUUAGUUAUAUAUAUAUAAAGUAUAUAUUAGACUGUUGAUAAAGAAUAAAAGAACUAACAAAUUUGUCAAAUAACAUAGACCCUCAUUCUUGAUUCCCAUUUAGGGCAGAUAUUUGUCAUUCAUUGGUUCAUUCUUUUCUCUCAAUACAUAUUUGCAUUUGUACAGCUUUCAGCUUUGUGAUUUUUGGUUUGAGUUUGGGAUUGUGAUGCCUUUUCCAUGAUUCUUAA